ensembl:lncRNA
AGUUCUGUUUUUACGGUCUUCUUGUGGAUUAAUUUUGCCGACAGGCUUCCGGAUUAUUAUCAAAAGCAAACCGAGACAGUGAUUAAAAAAACUAAAAUCGAGUCAAGAUGAUAUUUAGGCCCUUUCCCAUUCCUUUGCUCUAAAGAAAAUCUCAGCCCUAGCCCUCGCUGUUGCGCGUGCACGCACCGUGGAGCAAUGUCCCAAUACCACUUUAAGGUAGCUUUAAGGGGUAAGGGGGAGGGCUAACAUCCCCUCAAAAUUUAGAUUUUCGAUGGGCACCCUCAAAGCGAUUCAGUUCUGACUUGCUCCCACAAUACCUUGCGAGAAAACGGAAAAUCAAGAAAUAUCCCAGACAAGAUGGAGGACGAAAAGAUGCGACAGGAUUGGAAAAACACAAAUGACUUCGUUGAGUCCACUGCCACCAGCCCCCCCCACCUCUCCCUCAUACUCCUCCACCCCAGGCACCUCUUCCCCCACCCCAGACACCCCUUCCAAGAGGAGAGUGCCAGGGGGCAGGCGAGGCAUGAGGAGAGCGAGGCAAAGUUGGCGGAAUGGUGGAGAAGAUGUGAUUCUCCACCAUUCUCUCAAAAGCUGAGAGAGAGUGUGUGUGUGUGUGUGUGUGUGUGUGUGUGUGUGUGUGUGUGUGUGUGUUUUUAGGUGUGCGUGUGUGUGUAUUUUUAGAUGCGUGUGUGUGUAUUUUUAGAUGUGUGGUUCAGUGUUUCUUAUUUAAAUAAAGUGUUUAUUCUAAAGUGUUCUUGUUCAUAACCGAUUAUUAUCUAAGGGUGCACUCACACUAGGCCAUCUGUCCGUGGCCGUGGCCGUCUUAGCACCUAACCGUGCUCAAAUCUGCCAGUGUGAGUGUGGCCAGUCUGGCUAAUACCACCUUUAACAUGUAGCUAAGUGACAUUCAAAAUACAGGUAUAUUACGAGGGACAAAUAGUAUUAUUAUUUUUUUAACACUUUAUUUAAACAUGCCAAUUACAAAAUAUAAAUGGCCUACCAUUUCAGGUUAAACAUCUUUACAAUGGGUCUUGCUCGUUGCCCGAGAUAAUGGCAGCCAUUCUGUCUCUUGUAACAUUACCAGGGGUCUGGUUAUCUGCUAGGGGGCACGGGGAGGCCAUGAUGACGUCACAGGGUAGGGUUGUCCCAUUUGGUAGGGGAUCGGUUAGGGGUAGCAAUGAGGGGUAGCAAUGAGCAUGAGCAAUGAGGGUUAGGGUUGAGAUGUAGGGUUGAGACAGUGAGCAAAGAAACGGGAUUGGGCCUUAAGUAGCUUAUUCCUGACAACUUAACAGUGUUCACUAUUUGAGAGAAAAUUAUUGAGGCUUUAAGGAAAAAAAAUCCAUACCAGUAUGGAAAAAAAGUAGAGUUAAUGGGGGGCCCUGUUCCAGGGGAUUCCCUUUGUCAUUCAUAACACCCCCUGAUCCUCUGCUAGGGGCCUCUUGGAUCAGAGCAGGCCCCCUAGGCUGCCCGGCGUCCUAAGGCCCCCUUCUAAACGGGUGAAAACUAUAUUUUCCUCUCUGUUGUCCUUGGCAGCGUUUUAGGAGUUUCACCGUAAUGACGGACUCAUUGCAAAAACGCAUCUAUCUCUAUAAACGCUGUGGUACAUAUUCAAGGCAUUUAUGUGGCGCUGGUUCUCGGAGUAUGCAGAGUAUGAUAGCCUGCGCGCUGUAUACAGUCGAGGAGGAGAAAGAAGUUAUUAUACCUUGUAGAUGGAGCAGAAAAUACUUUUUAACGUUCAGUUAGUAAUUACUUCUUGUUAAAUUUCAAGAUAAUAAUUAAAAAAUAUGUUUUUCGACGCAAUUUUUUGUUUAUAUAUAUAUAUAUAUAUAUAUAUAUAUAUAUAUUAUAUAUACACUGCUCAAAAAAAUAAAGGGAACACUAAGAAAUGCCACCCCACACCAUUACU